UCGAGAAUCUUUCACAAUGGGCGAAAGCCUGAUGGAGCGACGCCGCGUGGAGGAUGAAGGCCUUCGGGUUGUAAACUCCUGUCAUGAGGGAACAAGAAAGUGAUAGUACCUCAAGAGGAAGAGACGGCUAACUCUGUGCCAGCAGCCGCGGUAAUACAGAGGUCUCAAGCGUUGUUCGGAUUUACUGGGCGUAAAGGGUGCGUAGGCGGUGGCGUAAGUCGAGUGUGAAAUCUUCCGGCCUAACCGGAAACUGCACUCGAUACUGCGUCACUAGAGGACUGUAGAGGAGACUGGAAUUCACGGUGUAGCAGUGAAAUGCGUAGAUAUCGUGAGGAGGACCGGUGGCGAAAGCGAGUCUCUGGGCAGUUCCUGACGCUGAGGCACGAAGGCUAGGGGAGCAAACGGGAUUAGAUACCCCCGUAGUCCCUGAGCGGGCUGGCAAGGCGCAU
rnacentral:rRNA from 1 species